rnacentral:lncRNA from 1 species
AAAAGGAGAUGGAUGUGACUAUUAUAUAGCAAAAGGUUGUAACGCCAGUGACAGCUAUUGCUUAGCGCAAAAUUACAAAAUUGCGUACAGUUCACACUAGUUUGUCGCUUUUUCCUUAUAUUGGGGAUGUUCCAAAUUUGGCUUCACAAGCGUUAUUUGGCGAGAUGGCUGGCAAAAAGUCUUUCUCCACCGAGCAGUAGACCCCACAUAUUAGAUAUUGGGGAAAAAACUGGAAACCUCUGUUUUUCUCCCACCCCCACCUCAGUCUGCUUCUGUUUGUUCCUGGUGUUCCUAACUUGACAUGGAUGCCAUGUCACACAAAACCACCUAACAGGGAAUGAGGUGGCAAAAUAAAAAAAAAGGGCAGCCCGGUGCAUGUAGCUCCCGCUUGCGCAGGGUCGGGGAAGGGUCCGACCACUUUGGGUCUAUAGUACGCAGCCUUUCCCUACAUUUCUGUAAGAGGCUGUUUCCAGAAUGAGGUGGCAAAAUACUUUGACAUAAAUGCCACACCACAUCAAAUACUUCCCUGGGAUAUAAUCAGAAAAAGUUCAUAUCUGAGGGUGCACAUUACAUAGUUUUGGAGUCUGCGGUGCAAAUUAAACUGAGGCAAUAAUAGUUGAGGCACCAAAGUAGACUUUUCCUUAGGGUUUCCAUCUUAAAAUUUGAAGGUUAAACCCUACAACUAUUUAGUAACUACUACUCUUUUACUUUUUACUUAAUUAUAAAAACUUCUAUCUGAUGCUUUAUUUCAUAGAGAUCAUAUCAAUGAUUAUAAAGGUUAGCUGAAAAGUAAUAUUCAAAUUCACCUCCCUAUAUUUGUUAUCAUCCCACCAUGCCCAACCAAGAAGUACUAGCCUAAGAGAAAUGACCGAUACAUGCCCCUAUAAAAUGACUUGCUACGACCACUUAAGCUCUUCCAAAACACUAAAAGUAGAAAUAGAGUGGAAACAUUGCAUUUGAAUACACUCAUGAUUAUCUCCAUGGACAAGUGUUUAGAAAAGAAGAUGCUUGAAUCAUGUAAUGGUUACAGUGAAACAAAGGGAGUGCUCAAGUAUCUGAACUAUUGUCUCGAUUGUGGUGCCUAUCCUGAGCGUAUAGAUUAUCUCCAGUGACAAAAUAAGGGUGAGCUGCAGUGCCAUAGGCAAUCAAAGUGGACCCACUGGUAAGUUUCCCACUACUAGUGGAUAGUGUUAGCUUGACACUGUAAGAUCAGGCAUGGCAUACUUUUGUAUGGUCCCCUAAGCAUACCUUGAGGCAUGCAGCCAUGCACACUGGAAAGAUCCUUGACCGACUUAGUAUAUACGCUUACCCUGGUGUUAAUUAAAUGCAGCAAUCUAUAUACUCAUGUAGUAGUGGACGGUGAUAGGUGGGAGCCAAGAGCUCUUCUCAGAUCAAGCCCAACCUGCAUCCAUGAGUUUGUCUUUUAGAGUAAGUUGGUGAGACUGUACACAAGUUGGUUUCCAGUAUGUGGAUUACUGAUUGUGUGACAGUUCCAACACUAAACAAUAUGUUGUUUGUACUUUGUACUACAGAAUCGCCAUAUCACUACAAACAUGAGCCAAACACUCAUGGAUAUAACUCCUAUUAGCUACAAGACUUUACCUACCUACAUUUUAUCAUUUAUAGUGAUGUCGGGCAGGUGUGUGGGUAUCAGAUCAGACACAUAUACCAGUCAUACUUCUCUCAUGUCAAAAAGUUGGGAAGUUAUUUACACAUGUCUGGCAAGUUGAUAUAUCUACUCAUCAACAUUUCCUUAAGCACGGUGGUACCCUGAAACACUGUGAGCUAAAAUGGUACAGUACAAUUCCAUGUGCUUGCUUACAUAUUUUUGCAAGGCAUAAGAAGCAGCGAUAAAAGUUUCUCUGGCCGACCUUGAAGAAUCAAUUUGACAGUUGUCUGCAAAAUGGUUUCUGUGUGUGU